rnacentral:lncRNA from 1 species
GAACUUUUCUGCGUCAACAUUACCAUUUUCAUUCUGUCAUACUCCUCCUUUGUCCGUCAACUCCGACUCCUCUUUGUCGAGGUGUCCAUUUUACAAAGGUACCCCAAAGAAACCCCGAAGAUUGAGCCCUAACUCCUUCUUGUUCCAUUAGAACUCCCAUUUUCCUAAAAGGCGGCAACAAGAUCUCUAUAGGUAAGGUUCUAUUUUGCUUUGGUGUUGGGAUCUUUUUUAUUGCUUCGUUUUGGAAGGAAAAUGAGGAUCUUUGGUAAGCCUUUCGAUAACCUCGAUCUAGCAUCGGUAGCAUGUGUUAAGUUUUGUUGGAUAUUUGCUUCUUGUUUAUUCAUUUCUCAUUUUCUUCAAAAUGGAGCCUUAAUCUCAAAAGCGUAGCAUAAUUAGUGCUUAUGAAUCUAACUAACUUUUUUUUUUUUGUUGUAAAUUUUAAUCGAUCCAAUGUUUUAGCUUUCGUUGAAAAUAAAGUAUUUCAUCCGUUACGUUUUCAUUUGCUUUGGUAUGACACAUAUGGGUGUUGAUCAUAUUUUAUUGUGGAAUUAGAUUUUUAUUUUCAUUUUCAUUUUCACAAUUGUGGAUACAAAUACUUAUUUUGAUCUUUUUGCAAGUCAGAGAGUACACGAGGAACCAGAAGAUGCAACAAAGGGUAGAGACGUUUUUAAUGAAAGGCCUCCUGCUGAAUUCUUGGCUGUGUCAAAUAUAGGAAAACUAUGACAUCAUCUCUUCCAGAUAAUAUCGUAAGUGGUUUUCCUCAAAGUGAUUUUAUUGCACUCGAUUUCCCAAUCGGCCCACAAAUUCAUAUAGAUUUGGAAAGGGAUUUUUUUUCUAAUUUUUAAUUUCUAGAAAGAGGAAAAACCAAGAAAUAAAGCAGAAUUACCCAUGGAAGUUGCACAAAAGGCUCAAAGCAUGUAGGAUUAUGUUCUAAGGAUAGGAUCAUUUAAAGUGGGUGAAGUGAACAAAAUGAGCAAAUAAAGUUAAAUGUUGUUGGAUUCCUUCAACAAUCUUGGAUUUUCUCUCUGUAUUUUAUUGGGUUACUGUCUUCCUUAAUUUCUUAUGUAACCUUCCAGCUAACCUUAUCAAAAGAAUUAUCAUUUACAAGUGUUAUAAACGAUAGAAAUCUGUAUAGACUAUUUCUUCUUUAUUUAUGUCAUUCCGAAAGUCGAUUGUAAACUGCAUCACACUUUAUGAUCAAAGAUAAUGACAUGGAAGCUCUCUUAGGCACUUGUAUACUUUAUACUUUGAAAUAACAUACUUUGAAACCUGCUGUUGAAAUUUUAUCUUUUGAAUUAUUCAAAUAGGUUGUUCAAUGUUAUAUGAAGCUAUUGUGAUUUUCCUUUUCUAAGCCACUAUUAAGAUGUGUUAUGAAUGAAAAAGAUAUUGUUCAAAGGUAAAUUUCGUUUUUGUUAGAUAGAAAUUUGGGCACGUAGGCUGUUAGAGUAAAAGAGAGAGGGUAAAACAAAACUUGCGAACUUAUGAAUUGCAAAAGUUUCAUGGAAAGUUCUUAAAGCUCUAGGAUGUUAAGGGAUUGUAGUAGAUUGAGACAUGGAAGUUUGGUUGAAUAGGUAAGGUUGUUUGAAAUGUGACUUGCUUAAUGUUUAGGGCUUUGGAAGAAGACAAUUUAUAAUGCUGAUGUAAGCUAAUUUCGUUGGCCCUAACACAUUUCAGUGAAGCAGAGGCAUUUUCUGAGCGGUUGAAAAAAGAGCUUCAAGCUUUCGAAGUGUGCGUGUGCGUGUAAUUUUGGAGAACGAGUAUUAGUUAAUGAGGUAACUUAGGAUUUUAAGCAUUGACAUGUUUACUGCAUUUUGUGUUUCUUGCCAUCACUUGUGAUCCCGUAGGAUAUUUGUGUUAAUUGAUAGUAGGUGUACAUCAUCUUUAUCAUGUCUUUCUAUUCAAUCAUAGCUUGUCGAUUUUACCUGUGUUUACUUAAAAGUAUAACACCUAAUUUUUUUUUAAAAUACUUAUGAGUAUUAUCCAGUUUCAUUUAUUUUCUUUUGGUUUUGUUAUUGUGUUUGAAAGAUUAAUUUUGAAGAUGUGUAUAUUAGCCAAAUCUUCAAAAUUUGUUUGGUUUACAAGAAGCUAAGUCAUUUACAACGUUGAAAAUAAUUUUUUUAUGAAUAAGACAUGUUCUAUGGGCUAUAUUUUAGAUAUUGACCAAUAUUUUUUGUUUCCUAUGAAUGGACAAUUGAACUUCCUGUUUUAUGAGGAUUGUAUUUGGUUUGAUUUUCUUUUCUUUCAAGUUGACAGCAACGUGAGCCCCGAAUGAUUUAUUUGGGGAUUGUGCAGGUACGACAGGCCUUCAGAUUGCUACUAAUUGUGUUCAGGACAUGGAUGAAUAGUUGGGUACAUUCAAUGUAAAACUUCAACAUAUGAGAGAGGACAUAAAAUCGGUAUGCAUCUCCCCACAUCGUGCUCUCAUUUGAAAAUGUAUAUUUUCGUGUUGUCUUGUGAUUUUGCUUAUAUACAUCAUGUUAGUUAUAAGCUGCAUAGUGUGUUCGUCUGAUUCCAAUUUUGUUUUGUUCAACAACAGGAGCAAAUUAAAAUUCAAUUUUAUUUGUUUGCUAAAGCAUAACUGCUUAUAUUAUGACUUGCUUUAUAAAAUAUUUUGAAGAAUUUGUUAUGAAUUAAUUGAAAUUAAGCUUUUCCCUGUGCUUUGAGAAUGUUGUAAAAUAUUCUUUUGUGAUAUGAAGAUUGAAGCCCAUAAUAACAAGCUGGAAAUACAUUCAGUUAACAACAAAUCAUUGGUUGAUGAACUUGAUAGCCUUUGAGAAAGAUUGUGCAUCCCUUCCCAGGUAUUUUCUUCGACUUUUUUCAUUCAAUAAAUUCAAAGAACUUUCCUUCUUUCUUUCUUUCUUUUUUCUUUUUUUAUUUUUUUUUAACACUUGGCAGUUGUACUUUGUAUUAUUUUCCCCAUUUAAAUUGCAAUUUAUAGCAUGUCUAAUAGGAAGUUCAGGUAUUCUAGCUCGACGGCUCGUUCAGGUUGUUAUUGGGUUUCUUUUUGUGUUUAUUGGGGCUUUUUUUAGUACUUAACAUUUAGCAGUUCAGGUGUUAAGUACUAAAAUGAAAAAAGAAAAUGGGGUACAUAAUGUAAAAAUACCUUUGAGUUUAUUGCUAGCUCGCAAUACCUUUUUUAAGUAUUUAACAUUUUGGGAGUUGUAUUUCAAUCACGUAAUGUUCUCCUUCACAUGCUUUAGAAUACCUUUGAGCAGCAGAUUAGCGAUUAGAGAUACUCAACAUUUAGGAUAAUAUUAUGAGAUCUUGCCUUGAUAGUUUUCAAAGUGUGUAUUUAUAUUUUUUGUCCCUUGCAGUUUUGUAUUUUUCCAGCUGGGUAGCUUAAAUUCUGUCUUUGCCAUUGAACAAACUUUGUCUAUCGUAAUGGUAUCCAAGGUUCCAACCAUUAUACUUUGUAUGGAUUUGUCACAUGGUUCCCCUGGCAAGUCUAAUAUUCCAUCCAUUGUUACUGUAAAACGCUACCAACCUCUUGUUCUUUAUGCUCUUUCAAAUUAUUGCAGCCUGCUUCUGUGUUUUUAUUUAAAAUGGUUUUUCUUGAGGCAAUGGCCAUUAAUAUCUCAUUACUGAGCAUGUGUUCACACUCAGUCCCCUAAAGUUGAAAUCAUCUAUCCUCUUUAUAAGCAUGUCUCAUACACUGAGGAUGAGGGCAUGAUCAGAUGAGUUUAUCGUCUUCAAUUAAAAUUGUUAAUGGGGGAUAUGAAUAAAUCCUGAUGCAACUCCUUUAAUUUGCUUUACUGUUGAGGCCACAACUGUAGAUUUUUCUCGCUAAUGGAACUACAUUUACAGCAGGCUUCCUCUGAGAGACCAGGUUAGCUCAAUUUGGCAUGUUAUGAACUAUGCAAAAUUGUCCAUAAAUAUGUCACUUCAAUUCAGAAAAGUCAAUUUUAUGAUACAAUUGUUGCUUUUCUUCGUUCAAAUAGGUUUUUACCACAAUUUUUAUGUCAGUUCUGUACUAUUGAAAUGUUGUUUUGAUAAUAUACAUUGUUAGUGCCAAAUGUUAGUGUUAUUUAUUUUGUUAUUGCUAUUUAUUUUGUUAUUUAUAUUCACUAUUCAAUCUUCGAAUUUUUUUCGAGGUUUUAACAAAUCAUUCCCAAAAACGUAGGAAAUUUCAACAGAAAUUGGUGUUUGGUGACUAAUUUGUGAGGUAUCAUGAUGAAAGAGACCGUGAGUCAUGACUGAUAUGAAUGGAAGGUAUUUUUCGACGAGACCCAUAAGAAUUAACUUGGUUGCUAGCAAACAGAAUGUGGGUGGUCAGGCUAAAGUUAUGAUUUACCUUUCAUCCUUGUAGUACAUUUGUUAGCUUAUUAGAUGGCCGCAUCAAAUUUACUUAAACAGGCUGAAUUAGGUUUGGUUUUUGCAUGAUGUGAUUUGAUUCCUGAUUCUGGCAGUUCAAAUGCAUUGAUGCCUUUUUGUUUUAGAUAUAUUCAACGGUUGAUGCUUAUUCAACAAUGUUGUUUUUAAGUAUGCUUCCUCUCUCUUGAAUUAUUGAAGAUAGCCACGGCUUACGAUUACAUUUCUUUGAAGUACUUUAAAAAUUUUCAGCUUUUGAAUCUUAAAACUUGCCUAAUCUCAUAAAACUUCAAUUGUCUCAAAGCGGGGAUGUCAGGAGGCUCAAGGCAUUGAGCUAAUUAUGGCUAAAAUGGUUACACUUUUAGUGCAGGUCAGUUUUUAAUUUCAUGUUUCUUACUUUUGGCUCUAAUGAUGAUAAUAAAUUGUUUUACUCAAUACCCUUUUUUUAACUCUACAGAUACUAUAGGGUCCGUGCAACCUUGUUAAUGGCGAUUAUAAAAAUUUGUUAUUGUAUUCAGGAACCUUUGGCUUAGUUGACUAUACUAAUUACGAAGAUAUUAAAUAUGUUGUAUUCAUCUUGAAAGUGUUUAACCUUCUGUGCAUCCGCGAAUUUUUCCAAUCGAUUUGACAAUUUAUUUUCCUCUUGCUCAGAUCCGAAAAAUCGACUCUAGUGAGUUUAAAAGCCCUUGGAACAGAAGUUCGAACGGGGUACCGUGACAUGGAUGGGUCUGUUCAACAUCCAUGUUUUGGCCUUCGCAAGGUUAUAUUCUUACAUUUAGCGUGAUCCAUGGGGUUGUUUCAUUUCUGGUUAUUUAAUUUUUGAACUAUUUGAAUGAGAAAACCUGCUAAUACAUUUGGCGUACCUCUCGUUGCUACUAUUGAAGCUUGAAUACCCUUCUUUUAUUUUUUUUAAAUUCUAGACAUGUAAAUGUUGCAUAUGUCACUUGAUUGAUGAAGCUGAAACUUUGCUUUUGGCUACUUCAAUACACGAGCUAAGUUAACUAAAUCAACAUCUACGAAAAAUAGGGGUGCUAUAUUCAAUUUCUCUUUAAAGAGUUGAAAAAAUUUCGGCCUUUUCAAAUCCCAAAGUCUCUUCUUUUUUAUCCUCCAAUCAUACUCUACGUUUCUCUCUUAAUCUUACACAUUAAACGAUAAUAUAUUCUUGUUUUCGUAUCAAUGUUUUAAAAGCCUUGAAAAAAUUUGUGUUUUCCACUCUUCUCCAGCUGCCAUUGACUGUCUUGAUUCAAGACUUUUGAUUAAAUUUACAAGUUAUUAUCAUUAUACUUGAAUGCCAUUGAAGCUAAAUUUUCUGAGUUGAUUAAAAAAAACGCAGAAUGAGAGGUUCACAUACUAGGAGUAGCUACAUUUAGGUGGUGCCGAUGAUAGAUAGUCAUUAAACGUAAAGUACAGAUGAUAGAAAUAGUGAUGCUGUGAUAGAACUAGAUGUGGUCCUGGUGGUUAUGUGAUGGACUUGAGUAUUG